UGACCGCUGGCGGCGUGCCUAAUACAUGCAAGUCGAGCGAACAGACGCGGAGCUUGCUCCUCUGACGUUAGCGGCGGACGGGUGAGUAACACGUGGAUAACCUACCUAUAAGACUGGGAUAACUUCGGGAAACCGGAGCUAAUGCCGGAUAAUAUAUUGAACCGCAUGGUUCAAUAGUGAAAGACGGUUUUGCUGUCACUUAUAGAUGGAUCCGCGCCGCAUUAGCUAGUUGGUAAGGUAACGGCUUACCAAGGCGACGAUGCGUAGCCGACCUGAGAGGGUGAUCGGCCACACUGGAACUGAGACACGGUCCAGACUCCUACGGGAGGCAGCAGUAGGGAAUCUUCCGCAAUGGGCGAAAGCCUGACGGAGCAACGCCGCGUGAGUGAUGAAGGUCUUCGGAUCGUAAAACUCUGUUAUUAGGGAAGAACAAAUGUGUAAGUAACUAUGCACGUCUUGACGGUACCUAAUCAGAAAGCCACGGCUAACUACGUG
rnacentral:rRNA from 1 species